rnacentral:tRNA from 1 species
GGAGAGGUGUCCGAGCGGUUGAAGGAGCCGGUCUCGAAAAUCGGUAGGCCCUUCUGGGGUCUCGUGGGUUCGAAUCCCACCCUCUCCG